AUCCAGCUGACGGAAAGUCCCAAAUAGGACGAAAUGCACAUCAAGCUGGAU
rnacentral:hammerhead_ribozyme from 1 species